rnacentral:rRNA from 2 species
AGAUUAAGUUAUUAAGAGCGCACGGUGGAUGCCUUGGCACUAGAAGCCGAUGAAGGACGUUACUAACGACGAUAUGCUUUGGGGAGCUGUAAGUAAGCUUUGAUCCAGAGAUUUCCGAAUGGGGAAACCCAGCAUGAGUUAUGUCAUGUUAUCGAUAUGUGAAUACAUAGCAUAUCAGAAGGCACACCCGGAGAACUGAAACAUCUUAGUACCCGGAGGAAGAGAAAGAAAAUUCGAUUCCCUUAGUAGCGGCGAGCGAAACGGGAAGAGCCCAAACCAACAAGCUUGCUUGUUGGGGUUGUAGGACACUCUAUACGGAGUUACAAAGGACGACAUUAGACGAAUCAUCUGGAAAGAUGAAUCAAAGAAGGUAAUAAUCCUGUAGUCGAAAAUGUUGUCUCUCUUGAGUGGAUCCUGAGUACGACGGAGCACGUGAAAUUCCGUCGGAAUCUGGGAGGACCAUCUCCUAAGGCUAAAUACUCUCUAGUGACCGAUAGUGAACCAGUACCGUGAGGGAAAGGUGAAAAGCACCCCGGAAGGGGAGUGAAAUAGAACCUGAAACCGUGUGCUUACAAGUAGUCAGAGCCCGUUAAUGGGUGAU